UACAGGAGGUCCCAAGCGUUGUUCGGAUUCACUGGGCGUAAAGGGUGCGUAGGUGGUUGGGUAAGUUUGAUGUGAAAGCUCCGAGCUUAACUCGGAAAUUGCAUUGAAUACUAUCUGGCUAGAGGGUUGGAGGGGGGACUGGAAUUCUCGGUGUAGCAGUGAAAUGCGUAGAUAUCGAGAGGAACACCAGUGGCGAAGGCGAGUCCCCUGGACAAACUCCUGACACUGAGGGCACGAAAGCUAGGGGAGCAAACAGG
rnacentral:rRNA from 1 species